rnacentral:misc_RNA from 1 species
AACAAGGCGUACCUGCGGACCUGCGGAGGGAUCAUUAACAAUUGACCAUUUCCAUAUGGAUCAAUCAAAAUCCAUAUCCACCUUGUGUGCACUGACUGAACGUAUGCUUUGGCAGCGCAGCGUCUGGACUCGGGUCACGGCCCGGGCUUUCCAGCGGGGACCCGUCUCGUGCGGGUUUCCCGGCCUGCCAGAGUUCUUCAUGGUCUAACCAACGCAUCCAAACUUCUGCCUGAAAUUCGU